rnacentral:tRNA from 1 species
UGGCGCGUAGCUCAGCGGUGAGAGCGGGAGCCUUAUAAGCUCCAGGCCGAGGGUUCGACCCCCUCCGCGCCGA